GUUGCAGUUAAACGUCCGUAGUCAAAUUUUAGUCUUUAGAUGAGGUGGCCUGGUCUUCAUUGAUCAAGCUCGCUUUUAUCGAGACUUUUUUUCUGGUUAUGCUAUGAAUAGCUUCGGUUGUUUAUAGUCUCUAGCCAGAUGAUUACCAUGAGCAAAUCAGAGUGUUUAAAGCAGGCUUUCAAGCUUGAAUGUGUUAGCAUGGAAUAAUGAAAUAUGACUUUAGUCCCUAUUUCGUUGGUUCAGGAACUUAAGUAAUGAUGAAUAGAAACGGUUGGGGACAUUUGUAUUUGGUCGCUAGAGGUGAAAUUCUUGGAUUGACCGAAGACAAACUACUGCGAAAGCAUUUGAUCCAGGACGUUUUCAUUGAUCAAGGUCUAAAGUUAAGGGAUCGAAGACGAUUAGAUACCGUCGUAGUCUUAACCACAAACUAUGCCGACUAGAGAUUGGGCUUGUUUAUUAUGACUAGCUCAGCAUCUUAGCGAAAGUAAAGUUUUUGGGUUCUGGGGGGAGUAUGGGACGCAAGGCUGAAACUUAAAGGAAUUGACGGAAGGGCACCACCAGGAGUGGAGCCUGCGGCUUAAUUUGACUCAACACGGGGAAACUCACCAGGUCCAGACAUAGUAAGGAUUGACAGAUUGAAAGCUCUUUCUAGAUUCUAUGGGUGGUGGUGCAUGGCCGUUCUUAGUUCGUGGAGUGAUUUGUCUGGUUAAUUCCGAUAACGAACGAGACCUUAUUCUGCUAAAUAGGCAGGUCAACUUUUUAGUUGAUUAAUAGAUUUAUCUAUCUGGCUUCUUAGAGAGACUAUCGGCUUCAAGCCGAAGAGUUUAGCAAUAACAGGUCUGUGAUGCCCUUAGAUGUUUCUGGGCCGCACGCGCGCUACACUGAU
rnacentral:rRNA from 1 species